rnacentral:rRNA from 1 species
GAAGUUAGAGCCCGUUAAAGGGUGAUAGCGUGCCUUUUGUAGAAUGAACCGGCGAGUUACGAUAUGGAGCGAGGUUAAGCAGGAUAUGCGGAGCCGAAGCGAAAGCGAGUCUUAACAGGGCGAAAGUUGCAUGUCGUAGACCCGAAACCGAGUGAUCUAGCCAUGACCAGGUUGAAGUUGGGGUAAAACCCGAUGGAGGACCGAACCGACCCCCGUUGAAACGUUGGCGGAUGAGUUGUGGCUAGGGGUGAAAUUCCAAUCGAACCCGGAGAUAGCUGGUUCUCCCCGAAAUAGCUUUAGGGCUAGCGUCGAGGUAAAGUCGUGUGAAGGUAGAGCACUGAAUAUGUGAUGGCCCCAUCUCGGGGUACUGAACAUAAUCAAACUCCGAAUGUCACAAAGAUAUACUCGGCAGUCAGACAGUGGGUGAUAAGGUCCAUUGUCAAAAGGGAAACAGCCCAGACCAUCAGCUAAGGUCCCAAAAUAUAUACUAAGUGGAAAAGGAUGUGGAGAUGUCCAGACAACUAGGAGGUUGGCUCAGAAGCAGCCAUCCUUUAAAGAGUGCGUAACAGCUCACUAGUCGAAUGACUCUGCGCCGAUAAUUUACCGGGGCUAAGUAUAUUACCGAAGCUAUGGAUUUACGCGUAAGCGUGAGUGGUAGGGGAGCGUUCUAUGUGCGGAGAAGCGGUACCGUAAGGAGCCGUGGAGCGCAUAGAAGAGAGAAUGCCGGUGUGAGUAGCGAAACGUGGGUGAGAAUCCCACGCACCGAAAACCCAAGGUUUCCAGAGGAAGGUUCGUCCGCUCUGGGUAAGUCGGGACCUAAGGCGAGGCCGAGAGGCGUAGUCGAUGGACAACAGGUAGAGAUUCCUGUACUUACGGUAUGAAUGAUGGAGUGACGGAGAAGGCUAGCGGAUCCUGCUGAUGGAAAUGCAGGUGCAAGCGAGGUAGCCGACAGCCAGGCAAAUCCGGCUGUCGAAAGGCAAAGGCGUGAGGCGUAUGGAAAGCUGCGGCAAGUACAGAAGUCCGUGAAGCCAGCUUCCAAGAAAAGCUUCUAGUGAUAAUCAUACAGUAACCCGUACCGAAAAUGGACACACAUGGGUGAGGAGAGAAUCCUAAGGUGAGCGAGAGAACUAUAGCUAAGGAACUCUGCAAAAUGACUCCGUAACUUAGGGAUAAGGAGUGCUCAUAGAGAUAUGAGCCGCAGUGAAACGGCCCAAGCGACUGUUUACCAAAAACACAGCUCUAUGCUAAGUCGAAAGACGACGUAUAUGGGGUGACGCCUGCCCGGUGCUGGAAGGUUAAGAGGAUGUGUCAGCGCAAGCGAAGCAUUGAAUUGAAGCCCCAGUAAACGGCGGCCGUAACUAUAACGGUCCUAAGGUAGCGAAAUUCCUUGUCAGGUAAGUUCUGACCCGCACGAAAGGCGUAACGAUUUGGGCGCUGUCUCAGCUGUAGACUCGGUGAAGUCUUAGUACCUGUGAAGAUGCAGGUUACCCGCGACUAGACGGAAAGACCCCAUGGAGCUUUACUGUAGCUUGAUAUUGGACUUUGAUGCAAGAUGUACAGGAUAGGUAGGAGACUGAGAGACAUGCACGCCAGUGUGUGAGGAGUCAAUGUUGGGAUACUACUCUUCUUGUAUUGGAGUUCUAACCGGAUGCCAUGGAACUGGCAACGGGACAGUGUCAGGUGGGCAGUUUGACUGGGGCGGUCGCCUCCCAAAGAGUAACGGAGGCGCCCAAAGAUACCCUCAGCUUGGAUGGAAAUCAAGCGCAGAGUGCAAAGGCAUAAGGGUGUUUGACUGCGAGACCUACAAGUCGAGCAGGGACGAAAGUCGGGCUUAGUGAUCCGGCGGUGCUGAAUGGAAAGGCCGUCGCUCAACGGAUAAAAGCUACCCUGGGGAUAACAGGCUGAUCUCCCCCAAGAGUUCACAUCGACGGGGAGGUUUGGCACCUCGAUGUCGGCUCAUCGCAUCCUGGAGCUGAAGUCGGUUCCAAGGGUUGGGCUGUUCGCCCAUUAAAGCGGUACGCGAGCUGGGUUCAGAACGUCGUGAGACAGUUCGGUCC